UACGUAGGGUGCAAGCGUUGUCCGGAAUUAUUGGGCGUAAAGAGCUCGUAGGCGGUCUGUCGCGUCGGCUGUGAAAACCCGGGGCUCAACCCCAAGCCUGCGGUCGAUACGGGCAGGCUAGAGUUCGGUAGGGGAGACUGGAAUUCCUGGUGUAGCGGUGAAAUGCGCAGAUAUCAGGAGGAACACCGAUGGCGAAGGCAGGUCUCUGGGCCGAUACUGACGCUGAGGAGCGAAAGCGUGGGGAGCGAACAGG
rnacentral:rRNA from 1 species